GAUGAACGCUGGCGGCGUGCUAAUACAUGCAAGUAGAACGCUGAAGGAGGAGCUUGCUCUUCUGGAUGAGUUGCGAACGGGUGAGUAACGCGUAGGUAACCUGCCUGGUAGCGGGGGAUAACUAUUGGAAACGAUAGCUAAUACCGCAUGACAACAGUUAUUGCAUGAUAACUGUUUAAAAGGGGCAACUGCUCCACUACCAGAUGGACCUGCGUUGUAUUAGCUAGUUGGUGAGGUAACGGCUCACCAAGGCGACGAUACAUAGCCGACCUGAGAGGGUGAUCGGCCACACUGGGACUGAGACACGGCCCAGACUCCUACGGGAGGCAGCAGUAGGGAAUCUUCGGCAAUGGACGGAAGUCUGACCGAGCAACGCCGCGUGAGUGAAGAAGGUUUUCGGAUCGUAAAGCUCUGUUGUAAGAGAAGAACGAGUGUGAGAGUGGAAAGUUCACACUGUGACGGUAUCUUACCAGAAAGGGACGGCUAACUACGUG
rnacentral:rRNA from 1 species